AGAUGGGAGCUUGCUCCCUGAUGUUAGCGGCGGACGGGUGAGUAACACGUGGGUAACCUGCCUGUAAGACUGGGAUAACUCCGGGAAACCGGGGCUAAUACCGGAUGGUUGUUUGAACCGCAUGGUUCAAACAUAAAAGGUGGCUUCGGCUACCACUUACAGAUGGACCCGCGGCGCAUUAGCUAGUUGGUGAGGUAACGGCUCACCAAGGCAACGAUGCGUAGCCGACCUGAGAGGGUGAUCGGCCACACUGGGACUGAGACACGGCCCAGACUCCUACGGGAGGCAGCAGUAGGGAAUCUUCCGCAAUGGACGAAAGUCUGACGGAGCAACGCCGCGUGAGUGAUGAAGGUUUUCGGAUCGUAAAGCUCUGUUGUUAGGGAAGAACAAGUACCGUUCGAAUAGGGCGGUACCUUGACGGUACCUAACCAGAAAGCCACGGCUAACUACGUGCCAGCAGCCGCGGUAAUACGUAGGUGGCAAGCGUUGUCCGGAAUUAUUGGGCGUAAAGGGCUCGCAGGCGGUUUCUUAAGUCUGAUGUGAAAGCCCCCGGCUCAACCGGGGAGGGUCAUUGGAAACUGGGGAACUUGAGUGCAGAAGAGGAGAGUGGAAUUCCACGUGUAGCGGUGAAAUGCGUAGAGAUGUGGAGGAACACCAGUGGCGAAGGCGACUCUCUGGUCUGUAACUGACGCUGAGGAGCGAAAGCGUGGGGAGCGAACAGGAUUAGAUACCCUGGUAGUCCACGCCGUAAACGAUGAGUGCUAAGUGUUAGGGGGUUUCCGCCCCUUAGUGCUGCAGCUAACGCAUUAAGCACUCCGCCUGGGGAGUACGGUCGCAAGACUGAAACUCAAAGGAAUUGACGGGGGCCC
rnacentral:rRNA from 1 species